rnacentral:rRNA from 1 species
CCUACGGGAGGCAGCAGUAGGGAAUCUUUCACAAUGGGCGAAAGCCUGAUGGAGCAACGCCGCGUGCAGGAUGAAGGCCUUCGGGUUGUAAACUGCUUUUAUAAGCGAGAAAUAUGAUGGUAACUUAUGAAUAAGGAUCGGCUAAAUACGUGCCAGCAGCCGCGGUCAUACGUAGGAUCCGAGCAUUAUCCGGAGUGACUGGGUGUAAAGAGUUGCGUAGGUGGCAUAAUAAGUAGCUAGUGAAAUCUGGUGGCUCAACCAUUCAGACUAUUAGCUAAACUGUUAAGCUCGAGACCGUUAGGGGUAACUGGAAUUUCUAGUGUAGGAGUGAAAUCCGUAGAGAUUAGAAGGAACACCAAUAGCGUAGGCAGGUUGCUGGGACGGUUCUGACACUAAGGCACGAAAGCGUAGGGAGCAAACGGGAUUAGAUACCCGAGUAGUC